UAACCUGCCUUGGAGUGGGAAUAACAGCUGGAAACAGCUGCUAAUACCGCAUAAUGCAGUUGGGUCGCAUGGCUCUGACUGCCAAAGAUUUAUCGCUCUGAGAUGGACUCGCGUCUGAUUAGCUAGUUGGUGGGGCAACGGCCCACCAAGGCGACGAUCAGUAGCCGGACUGAGAGGUUGGCCGGCCACAUUGGGACUGAGACACGGCCCAGACUCCUACGGGAGGCAGCAG
rnacentral:rRNA from 1 species